rnacentral:snoRNA from 1 species
AUGUCAAGAUUGGGAUCCUUCCUGAAAAAGUUCUUAUACCUUUCCCAUGCAUUUGGAUAGCUCUCGAGAUCUUUCUACUUAAACGUAUAGAUUUCAUUUUUGAAUUU